rnacentral:rRNA from 1 species
UACGGGGGGGGCAAGCGUUGUUCGGAAUUACUGGGCGUAAAGGGCGUGUAGGUGGCCAACUAAGUCAGACGUGAAAUCCCUCGGCUUAACCGGGGAACUGCGUCUGAUACUGGAUGGCUUGAGUGUGGGAGAGGGAUGCGGAAUUCCAGGUGUAGCGGUGAAAUGCGUAGAUAUGCGGAGGAACACCGAUGGCGAAGGCAAUCCCCUGGGCCUGCACUGACGCUCAUGCACGAAAGCGUGGGGAGCAAACAGG